rnacentral:rRNA from 1 species
UACGUAGGGGGCAAGCGUUGUCCGGAUUUAUUGGGCGUAAAGAGCGUGUAGGCGGCUUUACAGGUCCGUUGUGAAAACUCGAGGCUCAACCUCGAGACGCCGGUGGAAACCGUAAGGCUAGAGUCCGGAAGAGGAGAGUGGAAUUCCUGGUGUAGCGGUGAAAUGCGCAGAUAUCAGGAAGAACACCCGUGGCGAAGGCGGCUCUCUGGGACGGUACUGACGCUGAGACGCGAAAACGUGGGGAGCGAACAGG